UACAUUGCACCUCAAACCAAGGGCAAACACGGCGUGCAACUUGAAGUCGGACAAGCUUUGGGGAUGGCGGGUGCUGCAGGGCGCCGGAACUUGUGGCCCUGCGAACAGCCUUCCACCCUUCAGGCGGAAUUUGUUUGGCUUUUUUCAGUGCUGUCCUAGUUCUUUUCCUCAGUUGGUUGCCUGACUCACCACAAAAAUGGUUCAUCUGGUUAUGAACAGCAAGUAACAGAGAUACGGAAGCCAGUAGACUAUCUUAAGAAAACCCAAAUGGAUGUCAGU